ACUGGAGCCGCGGGGGUGCGGGGGCGGUCAAGGCCGCGGGCGCCGCGCCUCAGUACGUCCCGAACUACCAUCGCGAGCGCACGUUCGUUGGUCAAAGUCCCAGUGUCAGUGUUUGUGGUACAGUUAACCGGUGCCGCCAGGUCGUCGACCGCGCGAGUAUGAGUGCGCAGCCCCCGCCCCUCCGCACCCUUUCUCACUGACAGACACACACCAGUCCGAAGCGGAGACGAGCUGUGGAAUUCGAGCGAUGCGGGGCUGGUGCGCGCGCUGGAGCGGCGGAGGGCGCGGCCGGCUGCGC